GCCGGGCGUGGUGGCACGUGCCUGUAAUCCCAGGUACUCAGGAGGCUGAGACAGGAGAAUCGCUUGAACCUGGGAGGUGGAGGUUGCAGUGAGCUGCGAUCGUGCCACUGCACUCCAGCCUGGGUGACAGAGUGAGACCCUGUCUCAA
rnacentral:SRP_RNA from 1 species